GACUCCCCUGGAACAUCAAAAAUUGAUGAAGUUGACAAUGAUCAAUUCUCUGCAGAGGAUUUAAAACUAUUCAAGCAAUUUUUAGAACUUCGGAAAGCCAGUGUUCAAUCACCGAUGCAAGUUGCUUCAAGUACAAAUAAACAAGAAAAAGUGACUGAUAACAAGGAUGAGAGGGAGUUAAUCAAGGGAUCAGAGAUUAUGGUCGAUCGGUAUAAAUUGAGAUUA